rnacentral:snRNA from 1 species
GUAUGAAAUGAGCCUCUAGCCCAAUUAG